CCCGCAGGGGAGUGGCAGACGGGUGAGUUAACGCGUGGGAAUCUACCGUACCCUACGGAAUAACGCAUGGAAACGUGUGCUAAUACCGUAUACGCCCUUCGGGGGAAAGAUUUAUCGGGGUAUGAUGAGCCCGCGUUGGAUUAGCUAGUUGGUGGGGUAAAGGCCUACCAAGGCGACGAUCCAUAGCUGGUCUGAGAGGAUGAUCAGCCACAUUGGGACUGAGACACGGCCCAAACUCCUACGGGAGGCAGCAGUGGGGAAUAUUGGACAAUGGGCGCAAGCCUGAUCCAGCCAUGCCGCGUGAGUGAUGAAGGUCUUAGGAUUGUAAAGCUCUUUCACCGAUGAAGAUAAUGACGGUAGUCGGAGAAGAAGCCCCGGCUAACUUCGUGCCAGCAGCCGCGGUAAUACGAAGGGGGCUAGCGUUGUUCGGAAUUACUGGGCGUAAAGCGCACGUAGGCGGAUAUUUAAGUCAGGGGUGAAAUCCCGCAGCUCAACUGCGGAACUGCCUUUGAUACUGGGUAUCUCGAGUAUGGAAGAGGUGAGUGGAAUUCCGAGUGUAGAGGUGAAAUUCGUAGAUAUUCGGAGGAACACCAGUGGCGAAGGCGGCUCACUGGUCCAUUACUGACGCUGAGGUGCGAAAGCGUGGGGAGCAAACAGGAUUAGAUACC
rnacentral:rRNA from 1 species